rnacentral:sRNA from 1 species
AUUCCCACUUUGGGUCUUGGGAGCCACUUUUCAAUCAUUUCUCUCUGCUAAUUUUGGUGUCACCCUCAUUUCUUUUUAAACGAUUCAUUUUGAGCAAAUUUGUAAAUGGCCCUGAUGUGUUCUACAAUUUAGUCAAUUACUGUUUCAGCCUGCAAGCCUCCUGGGGAACGGAACAUACAUGGCCUGAAGGUGAAUACUCGGGCCGGACCCUCUCAACACAGCAGCCCAGCAGUCUCAGAUUCACUUCCAAGCAAUAGCUUAAAGAAGUCUUCUGCUGAACUGAAAAAAAUACUAGCCAAUGGCCAGAUGAAUGAACAAGACAUACGAUAUCGGGACACUCUUGGUCAUGGCAACGGAGGCACAGUCUACAAAGCAUAUCAUGUCCCGAGUGGGAAAAUAUUAGCUGUAAAGGUCAUACUACUAGAUAUUACACUGGAACUUCAGAAGCAAAUUAUGUCUGAAUUGGAAAUUCUUUAUAAGUGCGAUUCAUCAUAUAUCAUUGGAUUUUAUGGAGCAUUUUUUGUAGAAAACAGGAUUUCAAUAUGUACAGAAUUCAUGGAUGGGGGAUCUUUGGAUGUAUAUAGGAAAAUGCCAGAACAUGUCCUUGGAAGAAUUGCAGUAGCAGUUGUUAAAGGCCUUACUUAUUUGUGGAGUUUAAAGAUUUUACAUAGAGACGUGAAGCCCUCCAAUAUGCUAGUAAACACAAGAGGACAGGUUAAGCUGUGUGAUUUUGGAGUUAGCACUCAGCUGGUGAAUUCUAUAGCCAAGACGUAUGUUGGAACAAAUGCUUAUAUGGCGCCUGAAAGGAUUUCAGGGGAGCAGUAUGGAAUUCAUUCUGAUGUCUGGAGCUUAGGAAUCUCUUUUAUGGAGCUUGCUCUUGGGAGGUUUCCAUAUCCUCAGAUUCAGAAAAACCAGGGAUCUUUAAUGCCUCUCCAGCUUCUGCAGUGCAUUGUUGAUGAGGAUUCGCCCGUCCUUCCAGUUGGAGAGUUCUCGGAGCCAUUUGUACAUUUCAUCACUCAGUGUAUGCGAAAACAGCCAAAAGAAAGGCCAGCACCUGAAGAAUUGAUGGGCCACCCGUUCAUCGUGCAGUUCAAUGAUGGAAAUGCCGCCGUGGUGUCCAUGUGGGUGUGCCGGGCACUGGAGGAGAGGCGGAGCCAGCAGGGGCCCCCGUGAGGCUGCCGCAGGGCACUGAAAGCCCAGGACCAGUAACCAAGGAGAACAACCCACUCGUCGCCCUUCUCCGUAUGCUGCCUGUGCCAGAAGAGCUUUGCUGGGCCCUGGCUUCCCUGCCCUCGCCUUCACCUCUGUCAGCAGGUGGCCUUGCCUGGGGAGCCCCAUGUGUGGCCCACCCCACCAGGCCAUCCCCAUACCUUCUGGUUUGAAGGCGCUGACACUGGCAGAGAGGUAAAGGGUGGGGCAUUGAGAAUGGAGGCUCCCAGGGCCCCUGCCCACUUCUGUUUUCCUAAUGUUUUUCUCUAUAAAGGGUCAGGCCCGUCAGCAUCACUG